UACGUAGGGUGCAAGCGUUGUCCGGAAUUAUUGGGCGUAAAGGGCUCGUAGGCGGUUUGUCGCGUCGGGAGUGAAAACCAGGUGCUUAACACCUGGCUUGCUUUCGAUACGGGCAGACUAGAGUGUGGUAGGGGAGACUGGAAUUCCUGGUGUAGCGGUGAAAUGCGCAGAUAUCAGGAGGAACACCGAUGGCGAAGGCGGCUCACUGGCUCAUUACUGACGCUCAGGCGCGAUAGCGUGGGGAUCAAACAGG
rnacentral:rRNA from 1 species